rnacentral:piRNA from 1 species
UAGGAAAAGGCAGAGUGCAUUGUGUGACC